rnacentral:rRNA from 1 species
UACGUAGGUGGCAAGCGUUGUCCGGAAUUAUUGGGCGUAAAGCGCGCGCAGGCGGUCCUUUAAGUCUGAUGUGAAAGCCCACGGCUCAACCGUGGGGGGUCAUUGGAAACUGGGGGACUUGAGUGCAGGAGAGAAGAGUGGAAUUCCACGUGUAGCGGUGAAAUGCGUAGAGAUGUGGAGGAACACCAGUGGCGAAGGCGGCUCUCUGGACCGACACUGACGCUGAGGCGCGAAAGCGUGGGGAGCAAACAGG